CGCGCAGGCGGUCGGAUAAGUCGAAUGUGAAAGCCCCCGGCUCAACUGGGGAGGGUCAUUCGAUACUGUUCGACUGGAAGGCAGGAGAGGGAAGCGGAAUUCCCGGUGUAGUGGUGAAAUGCGUAGAUAUCGGGAGGAACACCAGUGGCGAAGGCGGCUUCCUGGCCUGUUCUUGACGCUGAGGCGCGAAAGCUAGGGGAGCAAACGGGAUUAGAUACCCCGGUAGUCCUAGCCGUAAACGAUGGACACUAGGUGUUGGCGGUAUCAACCCCGCCAGUGCCGAAGCUAACGCAUUAAGUGUCCCGCCUGGGGAGUACGGCCGCAAGGCUAAA
rnacentral:rRNA from 1 species